UCUUUCUUUCUUUUACAAUUACUUUUAUAAUUUUACAAGAGAAGAGGAUGGCUUGCACCUGUGGCAGGUGUUUAUUCCUCAUUAAAAUCACAUCCUGUAUUUUUUUCAUGACUCCACCAAUUCCAAUUAGGGGUCAAGGGAUGGCACAGCAUUGCCAGGGAGCUAUUCUCGAGGGAGGAAAGGCGACAACUGCUGUCCCGAAUCGGAGCAAAUGCACCUCCGGGAGGAGCACCUCAGGGCGGUGGCUGACCAUCCAGCUAGUCUUGCUUCCUUCUGCUCCUCUGCUUUUCAGUCACAAGGGACAGGAUCAGUUUGAGCGUCUGCCAGAGGGAAAAGCAGAGGCUGAAGUAUUUUUAGUUCUUGGAGCUGUGGAAUCUGGCAGAGGUCAGGCGGGCACUGGCCAGGGAGGCCCACCUCCAAGGGACCCCGAGGUCUCCUUGGAGAUGGAGAGCUAGCAGAGUGGGGAGGACCCUGCUCUGAGAUGGGGAUGGCCAUCCAAUAGUGGAGUAGGAGCACGCUGGGCCAAGCUCAAAAUGCCGCCUGGGAGUAGAACUGACAAGAAUGAUGGAUGUGAUAACUGCUCCAUGGUUUCUUAAACUGGAGGAAUGACAAAGGUGAAGAGAAACUUGGAAGGAAAAGACGUGGGAUGGAGGAGAAGUCUGGCCAGGAGGAAGAGACCUCUCAGAUUCCACUCAUCUUAGAAGAUCCAGCUUCUCUGAGUCAGAAUUAAUGUCAUUCAUCUCCCAUUGUGGUUUGUGUGAGAAUCAGUUGAGAAUGCACCCAUCUCCUGCAUGAGACUUGAGCUCCCACAGGGACAGACAAUGCACGUUCAUUCCUGUGUCCCAGCUAACCCAGAGCCUGGUUUAUGGGUCUUUACAAGAAAGAGACCUUCUGAUUUCUUAAUCAGAAGAUAUGAUGAGGGGCCGUGAACCAAGGAAGGAGGACAGCCUCUAGAAGCUGGAAAAGGCAAGAAAAUGGAUUCUCCCUGAGAGCCUCCAGAAAGGAACCAGUCCUGCAGACAUCUAACACACAAGGAAAUAGGGAACGACCCCAGUCUUCAAGGAGCAGAUUUUUUGUUUGUUUGUUUUUGUUUGUUUGUUUGUUUGUUUGGGUUUUUUCUGCAAAUUUUCUAUCUACACAGGGAGGAGACAACUUAGGAAACUAUGACAGGUGGCAGUAGAAGUAGAGAAGUAAAGGUCGGGAUCCCUGGGUGGCGCAGCGGUUUGGCGCCUGCCUUUGGCCCAGGGCGCGAUCCUGGAGACCCGGGAUCGAAUCCCACAUCGGGCUCCCGGUGCAUGGAGCCUGCUUCUCCCUCUGCCUGUGUCUCUGCCUCUCUCUCUCUCACUGUGUGCCUAUCAUAAAUAAAUAAAAAAAAAAAAAAAAAAAAGAGAAGUAAAGGUCUACACUUCCCCACCCUGUUCAC